AUUGAACGCUGGCGGCGUGCCUAAUACAUGCAAGUAGGACGCAGUUGCGAACGGGUGAGUAACGCGUAGGUAACUGCCUGUUAGAGGGGGAUAACUAUUGGAAAAGAUAGCUAAUACCGCAUACUAGUAGAUGGACCUGCGUUGUAUUAGCUAGUAGGUUGGGUAAUGGGCUACCUAGGCGACGAUACAUAGCCGACCCGGGAGGGUGAACCGCCAACCUGGGACUGGGGCACGGCCCCGACUCCUUCGGGGGGCCGCAGUAGGGAAUCUUCGGACAUGGGGCGAAACCUGGCCGAGCAACGCCGCGUUAGUGAAAGAAGGUUUCAGAUCGUAAAACUCUGUUGUUAAGGGAGCGGUACUUAACCAGAAAGGAACGGCUAACUACGUGCCAGCAGCCGCGGUAAUUC
rnacentral:rRNA from 1 species